rnacentral:ncRNA from 1 species
GUUUAAUCCUAGCCUUAUCCCCAACUUCUACUCGAUUUACACAUGCAAGUAUCUGCACACCCGUGAAAACGCCCUCACCCCUCUUACAGGACGAGGAGCCGGUAUCAGGCACUACAUCUUGCCCAUAACACCUAGCUACGCCACACCCCCAAGGGCAUUCAGCAGUGAUAAGUAUUAUUCAUUAGCGCCAGCUUGAUUUAGUCAGAGUAACCAGAGCCGGCCAAUUCGGUGCCAGCCGCCGCGGUUAUCCCGCUUGGCUCAAGUUGACAUUAACGGCGUUAAGCGUGGUUAAAGUCCCACUCUGGCUAGAAUCAAACUUAAACUAAGUUGUAACAUACUUGUCUUAAGGAAGUUCCCAAACGAAAGUUAUUCUACCCCCCCCCACUUGAAUCCACGAUAGCUGAAGCACAAACUGGGAUCAGAUACCCCACUAUGUUCAGCCGUAAAUUUACCCACAUUCAUAGCCGCCAGGGAACUACGAGUUCAAUCUUAAAACCCAAAGGAUUUGACGGUGCCCCACCCACCUAGAGGAGCCUGUUUUUUAAUCGACACCCCCCGAUAUACCUUACCAUUUCUUGCCCCCCCAGUCUGUAUACCUCCGUCGCAAGCUUACCAUGUGAACGCAUUAGUGGGCCAAAAGACUUACUGCCCAUACGUCAGGUCAAGGUGCAGCUCACGAAAUGGAAAACAAUGGGCUACAAUUUCUACAAAGAACACACGAAAAACUGCAUGCAACACAGUCAUGAAGGUGGAUUUAGUAGUAAAAAGAAAAUAGAGAGUUCUUUUUAAUUAUGGCGCUGGGACGCGUACAUACCGCCCGUCACCCUCUUCAAGCCUUUCUGCAAGAAGAGACAAGUCGUAACAUGGUAAGUGUACUGGAAAGUGCACUUGGAUUAACAGAAUGUAGCUUAACUAAAGCACCCCGCUUACACCGAAAUGAUGUCCGUAAUUUGACCAUUCUGAGCCUAAAACCUAACCCUUCUAAACCCCCUCAACUUUAUAAUAUAAGAUAAAACAUUUUUUCCAUUAAGUAACGGCGAUUAAAAAAUGAUUAGGAGUUAUAAAAAUAGUACCGUAAGGAAAACAUGAAAUAUAUGAAAAACCUAAAGCACCCAACAGCAAAGUUUAAACCUUGUACCUUUUGCAUCAUGGUCUAGUUAGUUAAAUCAAGCGAAACGCACUUAUAGUUUGACUUCCCGAAACUAAGCGAGCUACUCUAAAGCACUUUAUAGAAUUAACCCGUCCCUGUAGCAAAAGGGUGGGAAGACUUUAGAAUAGAGGUGAUACACCUACCGAGCUUAGAGAUAGCUGGUUAUUCAAGAAAAGAAUCUAAGUUCAUCUUUAAGUUUCUACAGUUUAAUAAAACAUUUAAUAAACUUAAAAGUUAUUCAAAUAAGGGACAGCCUAUUUGAAAAAGGACACAGCCUAUAACUCAGGGUAAUGACCUUCUCUCAUGACCAAGUUAGCCUAAAAGCAGCUAUCUUUCAAAAAGCGUCCAAGCUUCAUCACAAACCUUAUUAAUCCCAUAAUUAACUCAUAACCCUCAACCACUACUGAAUAGUCUCAUACUAUAUGAGAAUUAUUAUGCUAGAACUAGUAACAAGAAGAAGACCUUCUCCAAAAUGUAAACGUAAGCCAAAAUGAACACUCACCGGCACUUACCGCCACAAACCUACAGUAUUAACAUCUCAAGAAAAAAAUACUCCUACCGACGUUAACCUUACACUAGCACAUUCCAGGAAAGAUUCAAAAAAAGGGAAGGAACUCGGCAAACAAUAGCCCCGCCUGUUUACCAAAAACAUCGCCUCUUGAUAAAAUAUAAGAGGUCCAGCCUGCCCAGUGACAUGUUAAACGGCCGCGGUACCCUAACCGUGCGAAGGUAGCACAAUCACUUGUUCUAUAAAUCAGGACUAGUAUGAACGGCCUCACGAGAGCUAUACUGUCUCCCCUCUUUAAUCAGUGAAACUGAUCUCCUCGUGAAGAAGCGAGGAUACUAAUACAAGACGAGAAGACCCCAUGGAGCUUUAAACUCGUACCACUGCCUUUUAUUCACCAAUUAACUUAGGCAAACAAUGACUACGAGUCUUUCGGCUGGGGCGGCCACGGAGAAAAACUAAACCUCCAUGACGAAAGGAGCAAUCCUAAUUGAAGAGCCACUGCUCAAAGAAUCAAUAAACUGACCUAUUGACCCAAACAUUUUGAUCAACGAACCAAGUUACCCUGGGGAUAACAGCGCAAUCCAUUUCAAGAGACCCCAUCAACAAAUGGGCUUACGACCUCGAUGUUGGAUCAGGGUAUCCUAGUGGUGCAGCCGCUACUAAAGGUUCG